AGUGAACGCUGGCGGUAGGCCUAACACAUGCAAGUCGAACGGCAGCACAGUAAGAGCUUGCUCUUACGGGUGGCGAGUGGCGGACGGGUGAGGAAUACAUCGGAAUCUACUUUUUCGUGGGGGAUAACGUAGGGAAACUUACGCUAAUACCGCAUACGACCUACGGGUGAAAGCAGGGGAUCUUCGGACCUUGCGCGAUUGAAUGAGCCGAUGUCGGAUUAGCUAGUUGGCGGGGUAAAGGCCCGCCAAGGCGACGAUCCGUAGCUGGUCUGAGAGGAUGAUCAGCCACACUGGAACUGAGACACGGUCCAGACUCCUACGGGAGGCAGCAGUGGGGAAUAUUGGACAAUGGGCGCAAGCCUGAUCCAGCCAUACCGCGUGGGUGAAGAAGGCCUUCGGGUUGUAAAGCCCUUUUGUUGGGAAAGAAAAGCAGCAGGUUAAUACCCCGCUGUUCUGACGGUACCCAAAGAAUAAGCACCGGCUAACUUCGCG
rnacentral:rRNA from 1 species